UACGGAGGAUGCAAGCGUUAUCCGGAAUGAUUGGGCGUAAAGCGUCCGCAGGUGGCUGUGUAAGUCUGCUGUCAAAGAGCGAAGCUCAACUUCGUAAAGGCAGUGGAAACUACACGGCUAGAGUGCGUUCGGGGCAGAGGGAAUUCCUGGUGUAGCGGUGAAAUUCGUAGAUAUCGGGAGGAACACCGGUGGCGAAGGCGGCGCCUGGGUCGACACUGACGCUGAGGCGCGAAAGCGUGGGGAGCAAACAGG
rnacentral:rRNA from 1 species